rnacentral:sRNA from 1 species
GUGUGCACAAAUGCCAGGAGGUAAUUGCUAUGAAGGAGACGUUCUCCUAUGUCAUCAAAGAAAGUGACGAAAGUGGGACUGGUGUCAGGACUAAAAGAUGUGUGGCAGACAACAUUAUAAGAUCCGUGGAAAAGCUCAAGAUUUCUAAACCAGAAUCUGAGGAAAAGGUCACUCACACGAAGUCACGAAAGAAAAUCGAGUUUUCUACAGGGGACGAACAUUCUUAUUCAGCUCGUAGAGCAACUCAAGAAUGCCAUCCUAACACUUCUGAGCAUAGCUACUCACAAGAAGAGAGGAAUACAGCAGAGUUAAAUAACAUUUUGAAAGAUUCUCAAAGUGACCAAAGCUUUACUUUAAAAACCAUAAACUCUGAACUUUCUCUUGUCUCCAAAAAUGGCAGCAGUGUUCUAUUCAAUAGAGAUCCAUUGAGUUUGAUGGACCCCCAUGUAUUUGACAAUAUUCUACUCGAGAUUAAAGAAAAAUGUCCAUAUCUGCUUGGUGUUUUGGUAUGCGGACUUGGCAGCAAAGGGACCACUCAACGACAAGUCUGUUCAAUUGUUACCUUGUAUGCCAUGUUCCUGCAUGCCAGAAAUAACAAAGCAUCUGCUAUGCAGAGAAUGUACACAGCCCUUGCAAUAAGAUUUCAUGCUGACAAUGAGCUUCUAUCAAGAUUAAACCUUGCUCACAUAACACUUUCACCAGAAUCAAAAAGAAACAUAAUAGAGGAUUUUGGAAAAGUUUGUGAAAUGCAAAUCAUUCAAGACAUAGCAAGUGGCUUAGAUGGAAAAUUAAAUGGGGACAAUCUAGAUAUAAGAGUGACAACAAAUGAUUUGCGCCUCACCAACAGAGACAAAGACCUUCAUUUUUUUGCAUCCGACUUUGUAAUGAACAGAAUAAAUGUCGGUAAUGAGUCCAAAAAGGCAAACCUUAAUCCUACUUACACAGCUCAGAAUUUCCUUCCUAACGAUGAUGAAAUAUCUGCUUAUAAGGAAAGCCUUAAGAUUUUGUUAGGAAGAGACAUACAACAUCAUAUGAGUGAAUUUCAGUGGAUGAGGCACUGCUUACCAAAGAACAUCCCACAUAACCUUUCCCAUGUGAUGAGUAAGAAAUCAAUGUCUCUGAGCAAUGAAACGUCGUAUGGUGGGUGCUUAAAAAUACUGGACGAGUACACGGAAAUGGUAAACCGAUGGUACACAAAAGCUGGACGAGGUGAUGAGCUUGAUCACAUUGCUAUUCCUAUUGGAGGAGAUCAGCUUACUAGAGCACAUGAAGACUUUAUCAUAACUUGUGGUCAGGCCUACUUCCUCUCCUUUGUCAUGGAAAAAUUUCAAAUGGAGGACUUGAACAGUAAACCCAGUCAUCCGCUCUUGCCUGAAAAUGUGAAAAUGCUGCACCAACCAUCAAAGGAAAAAGUUUUUUCAGAAAUUAUGGAUGAUAUUGUCAGUUCAAUCUUUGAACCUUUCAAAUUGCAGCCAGCACCAAGAACAGUACAACUGUCAAUCCGAGUUGGAAACCAAGUGCUAUCUACAAACUCACCAGUAGACAAUGGAUUUGUACAAGUUCUAUUGCUACUGAAUGAACAAACUGUACAUUUGACAGUUCCCACAGCAAAUCUUAGAGCAGGUCUGAGUUUGACAAUUCCUUGCCUAAGUGAGCCUCUUUUCAUACAGGAUAUCACAUCCCCAGAAGUCAAAGAUGAUCUGCACAAUUAUGUCUUUCAAUUCAUGCAGUGGUACUUCGUUGUUAUUCAGAUGAAAGAUUCAAUCAAAGAGGGUGACAUUUACAGAACAAACAUUGUGCUAAAAUCUAUGAUCCCUUUCUUUUACUCACAUUCGUAUCUAUCUAAGUACUUAACAGAAUGUGUGGACUAUAUCUUGAAAACUGAGAUAAUUUUGCCACCAGAUUUGGCCCUUAGGGUCAGAGCUGCUUCUUUUGUGAACCCUUUUGGAGGAGCUGGAAAAAACAAAGCAGCAGACCUUCACAAAGAGAAUCAAGUAAAAUCUCUAAAAGACUUGAUAAAAGGACUUGGUGCAAACAAAACAGAGAAAUCUAUAAUCGCAGUCACCAAAGCAGCACCAACCAUUGAUACUAUUGUGAAAAACUUUGACUGCAUGGUAAAUGAAAAUACAGUAAAAACAACCCAUAAAACAAGUUCCAGGGAUGGUGACAUUCAGUGUCUUUUACAAAAAUUACAGACAUGGAAACCUUGGAUUAAGAAGGAAAACAGACGUUUGAAGGUCUUCUCUAACAUCAAGAAGACACCAUUCAGCUUUGACAAGCAAAAGUUUUCUCAACAUAUCAUGUACACAGCUGACAGGCUAGCCAGGGAUCUUCCCUAUGAAGAGGAGAGCAGUAGUUCUGAUGAAGAAUAGAUCUGAU